AGCUCCAAUAGCGUAUAUUAAUGCUGUUGCGGUUAAAAAGCUCGUAGUUGGAUCUCGGCGGGCAGGAGGCGGUGCGCUCUGCGCGACACUGCCUCGCACGCCCGUGAAUCGUGCGCCGGAGGCGACGGGGUGCUCUUAACCGAGUGUCCCGCCGCGCCGGCAGGUUUACUUUGAAAAAAUUAGAGUGCUCCAAGCAGGCUUGCCACGCCUGGAUACCCGUGCAUGGAAUAAUGGAAUAGGACGUCGUUUCUAUUUCGUUGGUUUUCGGAAAUCGACGUAAUGAUUAAUAGGGACAGUCGGGGGCAUUAGUAUUCAGGCGACAGAGGUGAAAUUCUUGGACCGCCUGAAGACUCACCACUGCGAAAGCAUUUGCCAAGAAUGUUUUCA
rnacentral:rRNA from 1 species